GACAGAGGGUGCAAGCGUUGUUCGGAAUCAUUGGGCGUAAAGGGCGCGUAGGCGCUUGAAAAGUUGAAUGUGAAAUCCCCAGGGCUCAACCGUGGAAGUGCAUUCAAAACUGUCAAGCUAGAGUCCUGGAGAGGGUGGUGGAAUUCCCAGUGUAGAAGUGAAAUUCGUAGAUAUUGGGAGGAACACCAGUGGCGAAGGCGACCACCUGGACGGAGACUGACGCUGAGGCGCGAAAGCGUGGGGAGCAACAGG
rnacentral:rRNA from 1 species